rnacentral:rRNA from 1 species
AAACAUGUCCUUUUGAUUUUAAUUUAAGGUCUAACCUGCCCACUGAAAUUUUUAAAUGGCCGCAGUAUCCUAACUGUGCAAAGGUAGCAUAAUCAUUAGUCUUUUAAUUGAAGGCUGGUAUGAAUGGUUGGACGAGAUACUAACUGUUUCAUUUAUAUUUAUAAUAGAAUUUUAUUUUUUAGUCAAAAAGCUAAAAUAAAAUUAAAAGACGAGAAGACCCUAUAAAUCUUUAUAUUUCAAGUAUUUUAGUUAUUUAGAUUUAUUUUUCUAUAAUAUUAAAAAAUAUUUUAUUGGGGUGAUAUUAAAAUUUAAUAAACUUUUAAUUUUUAAGAACAUUGAUAUAUGGUUAAUUGAUCCGUUUUUAACGAUUAAAAAUUUAAGUUACUUUAGGGAUAACAGCGUAAUUUUCUUGGAGAGUUCCUAUCGAUAAGAAAGAUUGCGACCUCGAUGUUGGAUUAAGAUUCAGAUUUGGGCGCAGCCGUUCAAAUUUUAAGUCUGUUCGACUUUUUAAAUCUUACAUGAUCU